rnacentral:lncRNA from 1 species
UAAAUAUGAUCUAGGAUAUAUAAAGUUCUUAGGAAUAAAAUUUUAAUUUCUUUCGACAUCGUUUACUUAGUAAGUAAAUCAUGUAAAAAAUGAACGAUGAAAAUUGAANAAUUUCUUUCGACAUCGUUUACUUAGUAAGUAAAUCAUGUAAAAAAUGAACGAUGAAAAUUGAACAAUCUUUAAAAUUUAAGGAUAGGACUUAUGAAUUCAAAAUCAAGAAUGCUGACCUUGAUCUAGAUAGUUUGAAGUAUUUUCUAUCAAAAUUUAAAUAAAUUUAGAUUCUUCUACACUGUUAAAUUACAAAUUUGCCAUAGUAGCUAUUGAAAUUGACAAUUUUGAAAUGGUUUGAUCAUAAAGUAAACUAUGUUGAAAAAAUAUAAAAUUUUAUUCCUAAAAACUUCAAAUACCAUAAAUCAGUUUUAACAGUGUGGACCGUUGAUUUGAACGUUCUAAGGUUAAAAACGAGACUAUAGUACCGGAGCCCCGGUACUAUAGAUAUUAUAGGAGACUAGCUCACUCGCUCUCUCCUCCCUCCCUCCCUCCCUCCCUAUAUAUAUACUCUCUCUCGCUCUCUCUCUCUCUCUCUCCACACACACACUCCCCC